CCUACGGGUGGCAGCAGUGAGGAAUAUUGGUCAAUGGACGCGAGCCUGAACCAGCCAAGUAGCGUGAAGGAUGACUGCCCUACGGGUUGUAAACUUCUUUUAUAAAGGAAUAAAGUGAGGCACGUGUGCCUUUUUGUAUGUACUUUAUGAAUAAGGAUCGGCUAACUCCGUGCCAGCAGCCGCGGUAAGACGGAGGAUCCGAGCGUUAUCCGGAUUUAUUGGGUUUAAAGGGAACGUAGAUGGGUUGUUAAGUCAGUUGUGAAAGUCUGCGGCUUAACCGUAAAAUUGCAAUUGAUACUGGCAGCCUUGAGUACAGUAGAGGGAGGCGGAAUUCGUGGUGUAGCGGUGAAAUGCUUAGAUAUCACGAAGAACACCGAUUGCGAAGGCAGCUUACUAAACAGCCACUGACAUUGAUGCUCGAAAGUGUGGGUAUCAAACAGGAUUAGAUACCCCAGUAGUC
rnacentral:rRNA from 1 species